rnacentral:rRNA from 1 species
GACGAACGCUGGCGGCGUGCUUAACACAUGCAAGUCGAACGGAAAGGCCCUGCUUUUGUGGGGUGCGCGAGUGGCGAACGGGUGAGUAACACGUGAGUAACCUGCCCUUGACUUUGGGAUAACUUCAGGAAACUGGGGCUAAUACCGGAUAGGAGCUCCUGCUGCAUGGUGGGGGUUGGAAAGUUUCGGCGGGUGGGGAUGGACUCGCGGCUUAUCAGCUUGUUGGUGGGGUAGUGGCUUACCAAGGCUUUGACGGGUAGCCGGCCUGAGAGGGUGACCGGCCACAUUGGGACUGAGAUACGGCCCAGACUCCUACGGGAGGCAGCAGUGGGGAAUAUUGCACAAUGGGCGGAAGCCUGAUGCAGCAACGCCGCGUGCGGGAUGACGGCCUUCGGGUUGUAAACCGCUUUCGCCUGUGACGAAGCGUGAGUGACGGUAAUGGGUAAAGAAGCACCGGCUAACUACGUG